CACUUCAUCAGGAGUUUGAUAUUAUUGAAGAAAACUUGACAGCAUUAAUAAAACUGUUUGAUUUGUUGAAUGUGCAAUUUGAGUCAUGUGGCAGUGAGUGCAUGGGAGUUCAUGAGUGCACUUGUUUGAAAGAAGACUAUGUCAAAUUCAUGGAUGAUUUCCAAAGUGAAUGGGAGGCUGCACCUGACAACAAACUGAUCAGGAUUGGAAGCGCAACAGCACAGUCCUAUACCCAUGCAUUUGCUCAUUACAUCAGCACCAACAACAGCACACCAACGUAUCCAGUGAACAUCAUACGGUGCCUUGAAGUCAUCCAGCUCAUGAAGCCGACUCUAGCGGCCACAGAAAGAGUGAUGUCACACGUGGAGAUUGCUGUGAGAAAUAGAUUUGAAUCCAAGUAUUACAUGAAUGAAACAAAACUUGAUGAAGAUGCUGUCUUUGAUAACAUUCAGAAUGAAGUGUUUCUCAGAUGCAACACAAACAUUGUACAGCAUGAUGCAGAACUGGCAAAAACAAUAUUUCUCGCCAAACACAAAAGAAUCGCUUAUCAAAAACAAGAAAUCUACUGCAAAAAGUCAAGCAAUAAAGAAUUAUAUGAGCAAACUUGGCAUUAAUGUUGCUAAAAAAUUCUCCCAGAAACGACAAAAUGUACCUGAUCAAAAACAGGCUGACUGCAAGAGAAGAAAAAUGAACUGUUGCCCUUCAGAUGUACUGGAGAAUAUAAAAAAUUCUGCUCCAAUCAAUUCAGUACCAGCUCUUUCAGAGUCAGAUAAAAGCUCGGAAGUGAAUGCAGAAAUUGCACUACCUGCAGACAUUGCACAACCGGCAGACAUUGCACAACCGUCAGACAUUGCACAACCUGCAGACAUUGCACAAUCUGCAGACAUUGCACAACCAGCAGACAUUGCACAACCUGUAGACAUUGCACAACCUACUAAAAUUGCACAACCUGCAGAAAUUGCACAACCUGUAAAAAUUGCACAACCGGCAGGCAUUGCACAACCUGCAUACAUUGAACAACCUUUAGUCAUUGCACAGCCUUCAGUAAUCAAAUCAAAUCUAUCAGGAUCAGUAAACAAACUUGCUGAUACGAGAAGCUUGGAUACAUUUGAGCAACCAGUUGAAAGCCGACCUGAUCCUACGUUCCAUGUGAAUGUAGAAAAUGACAAUACAAAAGUUGCCAAGAAAGUUGAGAUUUACUGCAUUUGUGAAAUGAGGCAUGAUGAAACAAAUCAAAUUAAAUUUUACAAAUGGAUUGGAUGUGCUAAUGCUCAGAUGUGUGAAUCAUACAUUGAAAGAAUAACUGCAAAAAAUUGUGAAGGAGGAGACUGGUUCCACUUGGAGUGUUUGAAACUUGACAAAAUUUCAAAUGGAGAAUGAUAUUGUCCAAAGUGUAGUGAAAAGCACACUACUAUCUUGAGACAGAACAUGAUUAAGUUUAAUAUUAAAGAAUGCAGCAUUGUUCUUCAACGAUGCCCUGAAGAUGCAGACGGGAGUGUCUGGUGUGCUGAGCAGAGCCUCCCUCAAGUGUCUGCUGGUGAAGUGAAGUCUGAAGCAUUGGAAUUCGGGGCUCCGUCUUCAGUUGCCAAUGUUGCAGUCAAGAAGAUCGAGGAGUGUGAUAUAGAGGAAGUGAAUGUUAAGGAGGAACCAAUUACUGAAGAGAGCAGCAGCGGCAAGUCGUCCACUGCUGAGGGAGCUGCAGUGGCCCCCUGGUGGCAGCAUCAAUGUCUUUGAAUCCUACAGCCCAACAGACGACCUAACGGCUGCAGGUGGAGUGACCACAUUCUGGGCGUCAAACCCUGGACUCUGAACACCAGCGUCAGCUCUCCUUCAGCAGACCUGAUCUGAAGUGUCUGCGUCGCCUGCCGAGUGCCACCAUCGCCUGCCAAGUGUCUGCGUCGCCUGCCAAGUGUCUGCAUCGCCUGCCUAGUAUCACAGUCCCGUUGUCAACAAAUACAAUAAUAGGCUAUUCGAAUCUAUGACUCGAAGUUUUGUUUAUUUAUUUCGAAGUUAUUGCCAUUUGUUUCUUCAGAAUAACUGCAAUUCUGGUGGGCCCCGUUUGGUACUGUCUGGCGCGCGGAGGGGACUGCGUAAUUAUUUGUUUGCAUCUUAUCUCUUUUAUAGUGUUUUUUUCAUUCAUUACUACUUCAUAUUGUACACUAUUGGAAUCUUUGCUAGCCAUAUGAAUUAUAUUUAUGUGUAAGGACGAUUAAAAGUUGAUUAUGAAGAACUA